UACAGAGGUCUCAAGCGUUGUUCGGAUUUACUGGGCGUAAAGGGCGCGUAGGCGGCGGGUCAAGUCGAGUGUGAAAGCCCCCGGCUCAACUGGGGAGGGUCACGCGAUACUGAUCGACUCGAAGGCAGGAGAGGGAAGUGGAAUUCCCGGUGUAGUGGUGAAAUGCGUAGAUAUCGGGAGGAACACCAGUGGCGAAGGCGACUUCCUGGCCUGUUCUUGACGCUGAGGCGCGAAAGCUAGGGGAGCAAACGGG
rnacentral:rRNA from 1 species